rnacentral:rRNA from 1 species
UAGGGAAUAUUGGUCAAUGGAGGCAACUCUGAACCAGCCAUGCCGCGUGUAGGAAGAAGGCGUUCUGCGUUGCAAACUACUUUUGAUUGGGAACAAAUGACUCUUGCGAGAGUAGCUGAGUGUACCAAUAGAAUAAGCCACGGCUAACUACGUGCCAGCAGCCGCGGUAAUACGUAGGUGGCAAGCGUUGUCCGGAUUUAUUGGGUUUAAAGGGUGCGUAGGCGGCUUGAUAAGUCAGUGGUGAAAGCCGAUCGCUUAACGAUCGAACUGCCAUUGAUACUGCCAGGCUUGAGUAUAGUUGAGGUAGGCGGAAUUGACAGUGUAGCGGUGAAAUGCAUAGAUAUUGUCAAGAACACCAAUUGCGAAGGCAGCUUACUAAAGUAUAACUGACGCUGAGGCACGAAAGUGCGGGGAUCAAACAGGAUUAGAUACCCUGGUAGUCCGCACCGUAAACGAUGAUCACUCGCUGUGUGCGAUAAACAGUACGCGGCCAAGCGAAAGGCGAUAAGUGAUCCACCUGGGGAGUACGCCCCGCAAGGGUGAAACUCAAAGGAAUUGAC